rnacentral:rRNA from 1 species
GAUGAACGCUGGCGGCGUGCCUAACACAUGCAAGUCGAGCGUGAUUGUGUGGAUUGAAGCUUCGGCAGAGAGAAACACAUGAAAGCGGCGGACGGGUGAGUAACGCGUGGGCAACCUGCCCCAUACAGCGGAAUAGCCACUGGAAACGGUGAUUAAUGCCGCAUAAGACCACAGUAUCGCAUGGUACGGGGGUCAAAGAUUUAUCGGUAUGGGAUGGGCCCGCGUCUGAUUAGCUAGUUGGUGAGGUAACGGCUCACCAAGGCGACGAUCAGUAGCCGACCUGAGAGGGCGGACGGCCACACUGGAACUGAGACACGGUCCAGACUCCUACGGGAGGCAGCAGUGGGGAAUAUUGCACAAUGGGCGCAAGCCUGAUGCAGCAACGCCGCGUGAGUGAAGAAGGCCUUCGGGUCGUAAAGCUCUGUCCUGUGGGAAGAAAAAAAUGACGGUACCACAGGAGGAAGCCCCGGCUAACUACGUGCCAGCCGCCGCAGUAA